rnacentral:rRNA from 1 species
AUUGAACGCUGGCGGCAGGCCUAACACAUGCAAGUCGAGCGGGGUUUUCGGACCUAGCGGCGGACGGGUGAGUAAUGCGUAGGAAGCCGCCCGAUAGAGGGGGAUACCAGUUGGAAACGACUGUUAAUACCGCAUAAUGUCUACGGACCAAAGUGUGGGACCUUCGGGCCACAUGCUAUCGGAUGCGCCUACGUGGGAUUAGCUAGUUGGUGAGGUAAUGGCUCACCAGGGCGACGAUCUCUAGCUGGUUUGAGAGGAUGAUCAGCCACACUGGAACUGAGACACGGUCCAGACUCCUACGGGAGGCAGCAGUGGGGAAUAUUGGACAAUGGGCGCAAGCCUGAUCCAGCCAUGCCGCGUGUGUGAAGAAGGCCUUCGGGUUGUAAAGCACUUUCAGCGAGGAGGAAGGGUGGUGUGUUAAUAGCACAUCAUUUUGACGUUACUCGCAGAAGAAGCACCGGCUAACUCUGUGCCAGCCGCCGCCGUAAGAC